rnacentral:rRNA from 1 species
CGAUGGAGGGGGAUAACUACUGGAAACGGUAGCUAAUACCGCAUAACGUCGCAAGACCAAAGAGGGGGACCUUCGGGCCUCUUGCCAUCGGAUGUGCCCAGAUGGGAUUAGCUAGUAGGUGGGGUAACGGCUCACCUAGGCGACGAUCCCUAGCUGGUCUGAGAGGAUGACCAGCCACACUGGAACUGAGACACGGCCCAG